UACGUAGGGGGCGAGCGUUUGUCCGGAUUUAUUGGGCGUAAAGAGCGUGUAGGCGGCCAGGUAGGUCUGCUGUGAAAACUCGAGGCUCAACCUCGAGACGUCGGCGGAAACCAUCUGGCUAGAGUCCGGAAGAGGAGAGUGGAAUUCCUGGUGUAGCGGUGAAAUGCGCAGAUAUCAGGAGGAACACCGGUGGCGAAGGCGGGUCUCUGGGCCGUAACUGACGCUGAGGAGCGAAAGCGUGGGGAGCGAACAGG
rnacentral:rRNA from 1 species